rnacentral:rRNA from 1 species
CUACGGGGCGCAGCAGGCGAGAAAACUUUGCAAUGUGCGAAAGCACGACAAGGUUAAUCCGAGUGGUUUCUGCUAAAGGAACCUUUUGACAGUCCUAGAAACACUGUUGAAUAAGGGGUGGGCAAGUUCUGGUGUCAGCCGCCGCGGUAAAACCAGCACCUCAAGUGGUCAGGAUGAUGAUUGGGCCUAAAGCAUCCGUAGCCGGCUCUGUAAGUUUUCGGUUAAAUCUGUACGCUCAACGUACAGGCUGCCGGGAAUACUGCAGAGCUAGGGAGUGGGAGAGGUAGACGGUACUCGGUAGGAAGGGGUAAAAUCCUUUGAUCUAUUGAUGACCACCUGUGGCGAAGGCGGUCUACCAGAACACGUCCGACGGUGAGGGAUGAAAGCUGGGGGAGCAAACCGGAUUAGAUACCCGAGUAGUC